rnacentral:misc_RNA from 1 species
CUCGAAUCUAAACAAAAAAUUUCUUCAAAAGAAGGCCAUAUUAACAACUAAACAUUACACGGCUAGCAUUUAUAUAUAAACUUCUGAGAACAACCUUGAAAGAGUAAAAUACACAAAGAAAGCUAAAUCACACACCCCCACCCCAACUAAAGAGAAAACCCCCUUCAAAACCCUCAUCGCCCCUCCUAUUUUCCCCUAGCUAUUAUAAUUUUUACCAAUCAUAUAUCUACUUAUAUUACAAAAUUUUACCCCCUAGACUUAUACAAGAAGUAUAAGUUCCAAGUGUUGAUUCCACCAUUUGUUUCCGAAUUUUCACAUGAUUGAGCAUGCAUUUGGAUUUUCGUCGCUAAAAAUCUCAAAUGAAUCAGACGGCUGUGAUGGAUCUGAGUCCAAAUCGGACGUUGGAGGUUCACUUGCCGUCCCCGGAUGCAUGCGCACGUAUGAAUACGCUGGGGGAUAGACUGAUGCACCGUAGCUAGUACUGGGGUGCGCUGUAUUGUAAUGCGCGGCGUGCACUGGAGGAGGUGCAUAGUAAUGUGGUGGGUAUUGAUACACGUGGUGAUUCGGAGGGCUGUGAUUGAUAGGAUAGCCAACAGAGCCUUGACCAUCACCUUGACUAGGUGAUCCAGUGCCUGCUAAUGCAUCACCAGAGUGUUCACCCUCAUCAACAUUGUCAUUAUUCCCUUUUUGCCCCUUCUUUUUCUUCUUUUUGCUUCCACUGCCACUUUUCUCUGCACCACCCUCAUUUUCACUGCUGCCUUUCUUGUCGGCCACCGGUGAAGGGCUAUCGGCCGGUGAGGCCUCAGGUUGUUUUACUUCUAUCUUCACCUCCUUCAUUUGUCCACCGGCGGCGGCUUUACUGGUUGUGCCGCCUUCGCUAGGUUUGGCAACAUUAAUAGUCUCUGGGUUUUUUUUGGGUACUUCCAUUUUCAGGAGCUUUAGAAGGAUCUUGAAUUUGUACUGCUUCAGUUUUCACAGUUUGUUUCUCUUUUUCACCCCCUUCAUCACCGCUUUCUUCGUCGCUUAGUUUCUCUUUCCCUUUUUCUUUCUCUUUAUUUUUUGAUUUUCCUUUCUUUUUCUCCUUAUGAUCAGCUUUUUCAGGCCAUAGCUCUGCAUGCUUCCCUGCCUUCACCAGUUUCUUGAUCAAAGUAUCUGCAUCUACAUUUCCCAGUACUGUGACCUUUUGUUGUCUUAAAUCAAUUUCCGUGGUGUAAACACCUGCAAGAAUGAACAAGCUCAACAUGAGUAGAGACAAAUAUCGUAAAAUCAACAAGGCUAGAUAGAUGUCGCAUAAAAAGGAACCGAAAAUGACAAAGGAGGUCUGAAAUUAAGGAGAAUGAACAAAACCCACUUGGGAAUUAAAAUCGAGAAACAAGUUUGAGAUUUGUUGCUUCAGCUAAAUACUGGACGGAGAAUAUAAUUAAUGAUAGCUUUAAAGAAAGUUAAUUUGCAAGUAAAAAAAAACCCAUAUGAAAAAAAUGAGAUAGUCUAGAAAUUCUGGCAAGAACAUCACCGUAAAACCGAGAAAUAAUAACCGAAUGUAUGAUUUUGGUGGUUACCGUCAAUAUUUGUUAGGAUCUUUUUGACUUUCCGUUUGCAGCCUUCACAAUGACAAUGAAUCGAGACUUUCAACACCAAUGUCUUGGUCUUGAGACGUGAUUCUGGAUUUCCUUCCACUACUACUUCUUUAUUAGCUUCUGUUUUUGGUUCAGCUUUGGCUUCAGUCUUCCCUUCUGCCGCCAUUUGGGGAGGUGAUGAUGGGUGCAUGAGGAGGGUAAGAGAGGAAAGGAAAGGAAGGGAGAGAAGAAGAUGCAAGGGAAUGCUUAAGAAAAAGGG